UACGGAGGGUGCGAGCGUUACUCGGAAUUACUGGGCGUAAAGCGCACGCAGGCGGUCUGUCAAGUCGGAUGUGAAAUCCCCGGGCUCAACCUGGGAACUGCAUUCGAAACUGGCAGGCUAGAGUCUUGUAGAGGGGGGUGGAAUUCCAGGUGUAGCGGUGAAAUGCGUAGAGAUCUGGAGGAAUACCGGUGGCGAAGGCGGCCCCCUGGACAAAGACUGACGCUCAGGUGCGAAAGCGUGGGGAGCAAACAGG
rnacentral:rRNA from 1 species